GACGAACGCUGGCGGCGUGCUUAACACAUGCAAGUCGAACGGAAAGGCCCUGCUUGCAGGGUACUCGAGUGGCGAACGGGUGAGUAACACGUGGGAGUUCUCCUCGGCACGUGGGGUUAAGCCUGGGAAACUGGGCCUAUAACCCGUUAGGAGCGAUGGUGAGUGUGAUGGUUGGUAAGUUCUUUCGGUGUAGGAUGAGCUUGCGGCCUAUUAGCUUGUUGGUGGGGUAAUGGCCUACCAAGGCGGCGAUGGGUAGCUGGCCUGAGAGGGUGGACGGCCAUCCUGGGGCCUAGGGACGGCACAAGCGGCGAAGGGUGGGAACCGUGGGGAAUAUUGCACCAUGGGCGCCACGCUUGUGCAGAGACGCCGCGGGGGGGAAGGCGGCCUUCGGGUGGGGAAAUCGUUUCGAUAGGGAAGAAGCUUUUUGUGACGGUACCUAGAGAAGAAGCACCGGCUAACUACGUG
rnacentral:rRNA from 1 species